AAAAAAAGUCGGCGGUAAGCCUACACAUGCAGUCGACGGCAGCACAGAGGAGCUUGCUCCUUGGGUGGCGAGUGGCGGACGGGUGAGGAAUACAUCGGAAUCUACUUUUUCGUGGGGGAUAACGUAGGGAAACUUACGCUAAUACCGCAUACGACCUACGGGUGAAGCAGGGGACCUUCGGGCCUUGCGCGAUUGAAUGAGCCGAUGUCGGAUUAGCUAGUUGGCGGGGUAAAGGCCCACCAAGGCGACGAUCCGUAGCUGGUCUGAGAGGAUGAUCAGCCACACUGGAACUGAGACACGGUCCAGACUCCUACGGGAGGCAGCAGUGGGGAAUAUUGGACAAUGGGCGCAAGCCUGAUCCAGCCAUACCGCGUGGGUGAAGAAGGCCUUCGGGUUGUAAAGCCCUUUUGUUGGGAAAGAAAUCCAGCUGGCUAAUACCCGGUUGGGAUGACGGUACCCAAAGAAUAAGCACCGGCUAACUUCGUGCCAGCAGCCGCGGUAAUACGAAGGGUGCAAGCGUUACUCGGAAUUACUGGGCGUAAAGCGUGCGUAGGUGGUCGUUUAAGUCCGUUGUGAAAGCCCUGGCUCAACCUGGGAACUGCAGUGGAUACUGGGCGACUAGAAUGUGGUAGAGGGUAGCGGAAUUCCUGGUGUAGCAGUGAAAUGCGUAAGAUCAGAGGAACAUCCAUGGCGGAAGGCAGCUACCUGGACCACAUUGACACUGAGCACGGAAAGCGUGGGGGAGCAAACAGGAUUAGAUACCCUGGCUAGUCCACGCCCUUAAACGAAUGCGAACUUGAAGUUUGAUC
rnacentral:rRNA from 1 species